CGGUAAUUCCAGCUCCAAUAGCGUAUAUUAAAAUUGUUGCAGUUAAAAAGCUCGUAGUUGAAUUUCUGCUAAAAAUAACCGGUCUGCUUUUAAUAAAGGUGGUAUCUUGGUGUGUUUUCAGCAAUAAUGUCCUUUGAAAUGUUUUUUACUUCAUUGUAAGAAAUUAUAUUCAGGAUUUUUACUUUGAGAAAAUUAGAGUGUUUCUAGCAGGCUAACGCUUUGAAUACUGCAGCAUGGAAUAAUAAAAUAGGAUUUUGGUUCUACAUUAUUGGUUUUAAGUGCUAAAUUAAUGAUUGAUAGGGACAGUUGGGGGCAUUUGUAUUAACUGUCAGAGGUGAAAUUCUUA
rnacentral:rRNA from 1 species